rnacentral:tRNA from 1 species
GCGGGGAUAGCUCAGUUGGGAGAGCGUCAGACUGAAGGAAAAACUUCGGUUAAAACUUCGGUUCAGUCUAUCUGAAGGUCGUCGGUUCAAUCCCGACUCACCGCA